GAUGAACGCUGGCGGCGUGCUUAACACAUGCAAGUCGAACGAAGCAUUUGCGACAGAUUUUUUCGGAAUGAAGUUGCUUAUGACUGAGUGGCGGACGGGUGAGUAACGCGUGGGUAACCUGCCUUGUACUGGGGGAUAGCAGCUGGAAACGGCUGGUAUACCGCAUAAGCGCUCAAUGUUGCAUGACAUGGUGUGAAAAACUCCGGUGGUAUAAGAUGGAACCGCGUCUGAUUAGCUAGUUGGUGAGAUAACAGCCCACCAAGGCGACGUUGAGUAGCCGACCUGAGAGGGAGACCGGCGACAUUUGGACUGGGACACGGCCCAGACUCCUACGGGAGGGAGCAAUGGGGAAUAUUGCAAAAUGGAGGGAACUCUGAUGCAGCGACGACGGGUGAGUGAAGAAGUAAUUCGUUAUGUAAAGCUCUAUCAGCAGGGAAGAUAGUGACGGUACCUGACUAAGAAGCCCCGGCUAAAUACGUG
rnacentral:rRNA from 1 species